GUGGUUGUAGCUCAGUUGGUCAGAGCAUCGGUUUGUGGUGCCGAGGGUCGUGGGUUCGAGCCCCAUCAGCCACCCA
rnacentral:tRNA from 1 species